rnacentral:rRNA from 1 species
GUUGGUGACUAUAGCAAAGAAAGAACACCCGAUCCCAUUCCGAACUCGGCCGUUAAAGUCUUUUGCGCCGAUGGUAGUUUACGCGAGAGUAGGACAUCGCCAACA